rnacentral:lncRNA from 1 species
GAGAAAGCUAAGUGUUGAUGACAGUGUGGGCCUGACCGUGCCUGAGUAAGCCCCAUGGGAACACAGCCGUGGUGGGAAGCAGCUUCCCAGCAGCCCUCCCCGCCAUCGGGAGAAUCCCCUGAGGCCAUGAGAGGGUCUCAGGGAGGUGGACGGCCCAUCAAGUGAGAACCGAGGGCACUGUGCACUCCUGAAUCCUAGGACUCCUCUUAGGUCAUUGACUAACAACAUCAACAAUGAAAUGAAUCUGAGAAAACAGGAAAUUGAGAGCAAGAGAAAAAAAAGUUAAUUAUACUGAUUUUGUAUAAGACCCCUUUGAACACAUUUUUAAAAAAUCAAAUAGAAGGUGCCCAGGUCCACUGUGCCUUGUGAAUAUUUGUCUUGUAUAUCCUAGAGAUCUACGCAUUCAUGUGGGAAUUGAAAAGGACCCACAUUUUACUAGAAGCAUCGUUCAUUUUUGCCUCAAAACAAUGCCCACAUGUCAGAAGAACUUUCACAAUUCACAGGAACAGUGACCUAAUUAACCAACCAUAAAAUUGCCAAAUCCCUACUUCUCAUUGUUUAAUAUGCUUAGAAAACCCAUUCAAAUUGUGAAUUAUCAAGUGAGCUUACACUGAUAAAUAGAUCCAAUAUUUAGGAAUUUUUAAAUCUUCCAUUCCUUUUUUUUUUUUGUCUUUUUAAAAAUAGAACAUUAGAAUAUGUCCUCCAGGUUUUAGAGAUGGGGGAGACAUGCUUCCCUUUAUUUCUCAGUAACUCAGCCAAAAAAAAUCUGGAGAGAAUGCAAAGACAGCUACUGGAAACUUUGAAAAGUAGAUGUGAGCCCAUCAGGGAAGAGCUAGAGAAUCUGAAAUCUACUCGAAAAAGUGAGUUUGAUACUUUGUGUUCCUAUCCUAACUCCACACAGCCUGAAACUUGGAAGUGAGCAUGAUGGAGUGGAUACAGUGAGAUGCAGAAGAAAUCCUCCAGUUUGGGCUGGAAGGGAAAAAAGAGACCCCUAAAACUCAGAGACAGUGGAAGAAAUUCCUGGUGUUUUUUUCUUCUCUUUUUCUCUGUUCUUCCACAUAGCAAUUUAGUAUUGACUACAGCAUCUCUGUUACAAUGAUAGCACCGAAAUGUUGUAACCAUAUGGCCUGCAAAGCCAAAAAUACUUAUCUGACCAUCUACAGGAAAAGUUUGCUGAUCUGGAUGAAAUAUUCUGAUACUAAAUAUUCCAUUUUGAGGCUGAUAUUCCUAAUCUAUUCAUAAGGAUGGCAUAUCUACCCAGUGGGCCUGCUGGGACUCCAGUUACCCGAUGCACAUACAUUGCUUGGUGUGGCAGUUUCGUGUGCAUUUUUGGUGAUGAUGCUCCACGGAACAUCUGCAGAUGUGCUGUCAAUUUGGACAGCUCUGACUACCGAGUGAAUGGGAAGUACUAACGAGAACUGUCUGCUUGGGAACUCCAUGAAGUUCGUGGCUUUUGUGAUUGAAAUAGCAUCAAUAAAAGGUUGACACUGUGGAACAACACAAGCCUGCAUGGACCUGGUUAUCUCUGACCUCGCACCACUCAUGAGACCAUACCUGAGCCCUACUCCACUUUGGCAGAACUGUUGCAUGGCCUCUCUUCAUAUAAUACCUCUCCGUACACCGUACACCGCAGCUCAAAGAAAGGAUAUAUGCUCCCUGUGAAGACUAAUGGAACUGUCCCUCCUGAUCCUCCUACAGACUUCCUCUGGCCUAAUGGGUGCACCAUUGCAUUAUAUCUGCCAUCUAUACACACAUAUACCUUUCAACCCUGCACUCUCUGAGAUGACUGGACUCAUGCCUAAAUAACUGAUGCUGUCCCUAGUGUAAGGUAAGCACUCAAUAGUUUCUCAGGAAAUGAAUAUGAUAAAUAUUUUGGCUGUUUAGAGGCUUUCCUUCACUUCAUUUUCUGUGUCCUCUUAUUUAAAAAGAAGUGCUCACUA